CAGUGGAGGCUCGGUGAGAGGACACAGCACAGCCUCAGGACCUCGGACUGAAGGAAAACACACGCUAACACACUGCGGAGGAAAGGCCGUCACACAUCUCUGCUCUCACCUGCGCGUGCACGGACCACGCGAGAGAAAAACACCCUCCUCCUGAUCACGGAUACAAACACACAACCCAGCCAGGAUAUCUGACCCACAGCCCGCCGCGGACACGCAGCCUCGGCAGAUGGUGUGGGAUUUAUUGAUCCGAUCCACGCGCUCACCUGUUCGUCAAAGCGAGGCUGCACAGAAACUCAUGUGUCCUGCACAUCUGGAGCCUGAGCCAUGCUACCCACCAUCCUCAUCACCACAUGUGGAUGUUUUAGUCUCCGUGGAUGGAGAGAGGAGGCGCGGUGUGAAAGUUCAGACUUACCUUUUGCUGUUAGAGCAAACAGUGGAGCCUGUUCCUGUCUUUGGUUAUCUAGCUGUAUGAGUGUUAAUCAUCCAUCAUAAAGCUAGAUAACCGAAAGUAGGAAUGACCUCCAAACGCUCAUCUUCCUGCCUUAAUGAGAAUAAACAAAAAGAAAACACAGGUACAAGAGGACAUCAAGUCUUUGCAGAAAAGGACAAGAGUGAUGCUGCUGCCAUGCUGUGGAGGAUCUUUGCAGCUCGUAUCAGUGUGUUAAUCACAUGGAUUCACGAGCCAAUACAUGGGGUUUGUCUCUGUGCAGCUAGGCUGCAAAUACAGUUUUAGACAUAGUCCAUGAAUAGAAAUAGUCUAAUAUUAAAGUUUUGCAUAAAAACAGCAGGUUUGAAUUUUGAGACAAAAAAAAUCAUAGUAUAUAAUGAUGUUUGAAUAUUAUUUAUUUGCUUUUUAAGAAUAAUUUCUGAAAGAAUUAGUAAAAAUAUGGAUGGAUUUUGACUGAAAUGUGAUCUUUAAUUUAUGAUCCAGCUUUCUCUUGUCAUUGUAAUAUUGACUUUUGGUCUUUGUACUUAAAGUUAAAAUCAAAAUGUUGAAAGGUUGCUGUUUUCAUUCAUGUACACUUUAUUCAAAUGAUGUUAUGGCAUAUGGGCUUAUUAAAGAGGGAUGAAUGACAUGUUUUGCUCUUUACUCAAUAAAA